UCACUCUGGUUUCUCUUCAUAACACCAAGUCUUUCACCUUUUACUAAAGACUUCCUUGGAGGGGAACAACGAUGCGUUGAAACUAUUUUGGUGGGCUUUGCUGUUUGGCCGUGC